GCGGGAUGUGAAGAUGCCAACCUUGCCAAGGUUGGGGUCGUGGGUUCGAAUCCCAUCGCCCGCUCCA
rnacentral:tRNA from 1 species